rnacentral:rRNA from 1 species
CUCAGGACGAACGCGGGCGGCGUGCCUAAUACAUGCAAGUCGAGCGGACAGAAGGGAGCUUGCUCCCGGAUGUUAGCGGCGGACGGGUGAGUAACACGUGGGUAACCUGCCUGUAAGACUGGGAUAACUCCGGGAAACCGGAGCUAAUACCGGAUAGUUCCUUGAACCGCAUGGUUCAAGGAUGAAAGACGGUUUCGGCUGUCACUUACAGAUGGACCCGCGGCGCAUUAGCUAGUUGGUGGGGUAAUGGCUCACCAAGGCGACGAUGCGUAGCCGACCUGAGAGGGUGAUCGGCCACACUGGGACUGAGACACGGCCCAGACUCCUACGGGAGGCAGCAGUAGGGAAUCUUCCGCAAUGGACGAAAGUCUGACGGAGCAACGCCGCGUGAGUGAUGAAGGUUUUCGGAUCGUAAAGCUCUGUUGUUAGGGAAGAACAAGUGCGAGAGUAACUGCUCGCACCUUGACGGUACCUAACCAGAAAGCCACGCUA